CCAGUGACAUCACGUUCAACGGCCGCGGUAUCCUAACCGUGCGAAGGUAGCGCAAUCAAUUGUCCCAUAAAUCGAGACUUGUAUGAAUGGCCAAACGAGGUCUUAACUGUCUCCUCCAGGUAAUCAGUGAAAUUGAUCUCCCUGUGCAAAAGCAGGAAUAACCACAUAAGACAAGAAGACCCUGUGGAACUUCAAAAUCAGCAGUCACUUCUACAUACACCCACUCCAACUGGACACCACCUUCCACCCGAACAAAAUUGACCUGCAUUUUUUGGUUGGGGCGACCUUGGAGAAAAACAUACCCUCCAAACACAAGACGACCACUCUUAACCAAGAACAACCAAUCAACGUGCUAACAGCAACCAGACCCAAUACAAUUGAUCAAUGAACCAAGCUACCCCAGGGAUAACAGCGCAAUCUCCUUCAAGAGCCCCCAUCGACAAGGAGGUUUACGACCUCGAUGUUGGAUCAGGACAUCCUAGUG
rnacentral:rRNA from 1 species